rnacentral:rRNA from 1 species
GACGAACGCUGGCGGCGUGCUUAACACAUGCAAGUCGUACGGUAAGGCCCUUUCGGGGUUACCCGAGUGGCGUACGGUGGCGUAACACGUGAUUAACCUGCCCACAACUUUGUUAUAACGCUAGGAAACUGGUGCUAAUACUGGCUAUGUGCUCCUGCUGCCUGGUGGGGGUUUGACAGCUCCGGGGGCUGUUGACGGAUUCGCGGGCUCUCAGCCUUGUUGUGGGGUAUUGGCCUACCAAGGCGGCGGGGGGUGGCCGGCCUGAGAAGGGGACCGGCCACAAGGGGACUGAGAGACGGCCCAGACUGCUACGGGAGGCAGCAGGGGGGAAUAUUGCAGAACAGGCGCGAGCGUGUUGCAGCGGCGCCGCGGGCGGGAUGACGUCCUUCGGGUUGGAAAACGGUUGCAGCAGGGACGAAGCUUGUAGUGACGGUACCUGCAGAAGAAGCACCGGCUAACUACGUG